GAUCAUGGCUCAGAACGACGCUGGCGGCGCGUUUAAGCAUGCAAGUCGAGCGGCAAGGGCCUUCGGGCCCCUAGAGCGGCGGACGGGUGAGUAACACGUGGACAAUCUGCCCCCCGGCCCGGGAUAGCCCAGGGAAACCUGGAUUAAUACCGGAUGAGACGGGACCCGCGAUGGCGGGAUCCGGGAAAGGCGCUGCGGCGCCGCCGGGGGAUGAGUCUGCGUCCCAUUAGCUAGACGGCGGGGUAACGGCCCACCGUGGCGACGAUGGGUAGCCGGCCUGAGAGGGUGGACGGCCACAUUGGAACUGAGACACGGUCCAGACUCCUACGGGAGGCAGCAGCUAAGAAUCUUCCGCAAUGGGCGAAAGCCUGACGGAGCGACGCCCGCGUGAACGAAGAAGGCCGUGAGGUUGUAAAGUUCUUUUCGGGAGGGGGAACAACCGUGGCAGGGAAUGGCCGCGGGAUGACGUGAAUCCCGGAAUAAGCCCCGGCUAACUACGUGCCAGCAGCCGC
rnacentral:rRNA from 1 species